GAUGAACGCUGGCGGCGUGCCUAAUACAUGCAAGUCGAGCGAAUGGAUUAAGAGCUUGCUCUUAUGAAGUUAGCGGCGGACGGGUGAGUAACACGUGGGUAACCUGCCCAUAAGACUGGGAUAACUCCGGGAAACGGGGGCUAAUACCGGAUAACAUUUUGAACCGCAUGGUUCGAAACUGAAAGGCGGCUUCGGCUGUCACUUAUGGAUGGACCCGCGUCGCAUUAGCUAGUUGGUGAGGUAACGGCUCACCAAGGCAACGAUGCGUAGCCGACCUGAGAGUGUGGUCGGCCACACGGGGACUGAGACACGGCCCAGACUCCUACGGGAGGCAGCAGUAGGGAAUCUUCCGCAAUGGACGAAAGUCUGACGGAGCAACGCCGCGUGAGUGAUGAAGGCUUUCGGGUCGUAAAACUCUGUUGUUAGGGAAGAACAAGUGCUAGUUGAAUAAGCUGGCACCUUGACGGUACCUAACCAGAAAGCCACGGCUAACUACGUGCCAGCAGCCGCCGUAA
rnacentral:rRNA from 1 species